rfam:Triticum urartu cultivar G1812 contig367388, whole genome shotgun sequence.
AUAUUACUCCCUCCGUCUGAAAAUACUUGUCCUCAAAAUUGAUAAAAAGAGAUGUAUCUAGAACUAAAAUACGUCUAGACACAUCCCCUUUUAUCCAUUUUGAUGACAAGUAUUUCCGGACGGACAGAGUAUUUC